rnacentral:lncRNA from 1 species
AGCAAUCAGCGAGACUCCGUGGGCGUAGGACCCUCCGAGCCAGGUGCGGGAUAUAAUCUCGUCGUGCGCCAUUUUUUAAGCCCGUCGGAAAUGCGCAGUAUUCGGGUGGGAGUGACCCGAUUUUCCAGGUGCCGUCCGUCACCCCUUUCUUUGAUUAGGAAAGGGAACUCCCUGACCCCUAGCACUUCCCGAGUGAGGCAAUGCCUCGCCCUGCUUCGGCUCGCGCACGGUGCGCACCCACUGACCUGCGCCCACUGUCUGGCGCUCCCUAGUGAGAUGAACCCGGUACCUCAGAUGGAAAUGCAGAAAUCACCCGUCUUCUGCGUCGCUCAGGCUGAUUGCUGCAGACCGGAGCUGUUCCUAUUCGGCCAUCUUGCCUCCUCCCCCGGAAUUUUCUUAAUUGACCCUGGGCCAGGGAAAGAAAUGAAUGAAGAUGCCACCUUAUGCCCAGAACACAUCUCUCAUUCAAUGAUAAAGGAUUUGUGGUUGGGUCAACUUUUGUGAUGCUCAACUCUUUCCUUCGUAAGGACGGGCUCUUUCUCA